UACGUAGGUGGCAAGCGUUGUCCGGAUUUAUUGGGUUUAAAGGGUGCGUAGGCGGCCCUGUAAGUCAGUGGUGAAAUACGGCAGCUCAACUGUCGAGGUGCCAUUGAUACUGCGGGGCUUGAGUGCUGAUGAGGGAGGCGGAAUUGACGGUGUAGCGGUGAAAUGCUUAGAUAUCGUCAAGAACACCGAUAGCGAAGGCAGCUUGCCAAGCAGCAACUGACGCUGAGGCACGAAAGUGCGGGGAUCAAACAGG
rnacentral:rRNA from 1 species